rnacentral:rRNA from 1 species
CCCUUCCUCCCAACUUAAAGUGCUUUACAAUCCGAAGACCUUCUUCACACACGCGGCAUGGCUGGAUCAGGCUUUCGCCCAUUGUCCAAUAUUCCCCACUGCUGCCUCCCGUAGGAGUCUGGACCGUGUCUCAGUUCCAGUGUGACUGAUCAUCCUCUCAGACCAGUUACGGAUCGUCGCCUUGGUGAGCCAUUACCUCACCAACUAGCUAAUCCGACCUAGGCUCAUCUGAUAGCGCAAGGCCCGAAGGUCCCCUGCUUUCUCCCGUAGGACGUAUGCGGUAUUAGCGUCCCUUUCGAGACGUUGUCCCCCACUACCAGGCAGAUUCCUAGGCAUUACUCACCCGUCCGCCGCUGAAUCAGGGAGCAAGCUCCCUUCAUCCGCUCGACUUGCAUGUGUUAGGCCUGCCGCCAGCGUUCAAU